AGAGUUUGAUCCUGGCUCAGGAUGAACGCUGGCGGCGUGCUUAACACAUGCAAGUCGAACGUGAAGCCAGGUGCUUGCACCGGGUGGAAAGUGGCGAACGGGUGAGUAACACGUUGGUGACCUGCNCCGAGGAGGGGAAUAACCGUGGGAAACUACGGCUAAUGCCCCGGAUGUUCACGGUGUUAGAGGCUGUGAACUAAAGUUCCGGCGCCUCGGGAGGGGCCUGCGGGCUAUCAGCUAGUUGGUGAGGUAACGGCUCACCAAGGCCAAGACGGCUAGGGGGCGUGAGAGCGUGGCCCCCCACAAUGGAACUGAGACACGGUCCAUACUCCUACGGGAGGCAGCAGUGAGGAAUAUUGCCCAAUGGGGGAAACCCUGAGGCAGCAACGCCGCGUGGAUGAAGAAGGCUUUCGGGUCGUAAAAUCCUUUUCUGAGGGAAGAAGGAUGACGGUACCUCAGGAAUAAGUUCCGGCUAACUACGUGCCAGCAGCCGCGGUAAAACGUAGGGGACAAGCGUUAUCCGGAUUUAACUGGGCGUAAAGCGCGCGUAGGCGGCGCGGCAAGUUGGAANUGAAAGCUCCUGGCUUAACUGGGAGAGGUCGUUCAAAACUGCCGGGCUAGAGAU
rnacentral:rRNA from 1 species